rnacentral:lncRNA from 1 species
CUGCCUUGGCUUUCCAAAGUGUUGGAAUUACAGGAAAGGAACAGUGACACAACUUACAGCAGAGGCCCAGAUUCUUUUCUUCAAAGCAGAGGCACAAGCAAGUCUAAACAUCUUACAGUAAGAAGGAAACCUUUCAGAAAGAUCACAAUGUAUUUUCUAUCCAUUUAUGUGACAUGUUUGCUGUUAUUUUGCUUUAAUGGAAUAGGUCCUCAAAUUGACUCUUCAGUUACAUCAUGGUGUACAACAGCUAACACAUAAUGGACUGAAAAAAAUAAAACUACCCCUUAAGUGCU